rnacentral:rRNA from 1 species
GUUUAGCGCUACCAUUGAGAAUGAAUGGGAAACGGUUUAGGGCCGUUUAGCUAAGCUCAGCAGGGUCGGGCCUGGUCAGUACUUGGAUGGGAGACCGCCCGGGACUACCAGGCGCUGAAAGCU